GGGCGGGUUCCGCGGAGCCGGGCCGGGCUCGGUGGGGCCGGGCCGGACACGCCGGGGGUUCCGUGGGCUCCGGGCUCGGGCUCGGCGGCGGCUCCGGGGUCGGUGACGGUGACAAGUCCAAGUGCCAAGAGAGCCUGAGCUGUCCCUGCGCCGAGCCGGUGUCGCUGCCUUGGGACCUGCAGGGCAGGAAGGGUCAGACAGACAGACAGACAGACAGACAGACAGACAGACUGGGGCAUCCACCUGCUGCUUCCCAGCUGCUUCCCAGCCUUUCGAGCGCUUUCCCCUCGCUCCCCGCAGCCUCUGGGGCCCUGAGCUGUGAGUGGGGCGCGCUGGGUGAGGCGUCAGGACGGCUCUCACCAAGGCAGGGCUGUGUUAGUGCCUCUGCUGCUCACCAGAAGCUUCUGUGCUCUGCCAGCGCGUCCUUUCCCCCUGAUCUGCCGCUUCUCCGCACGCCACGGGCCGGGAUCUUGCCGUGUUUCAGCGUGGUGUCUGCUCCGGAGUGCCAAUAAAGCCUGGAUCAGCAUUCCCGGUGCUGCUGGAGGCAGAGCUCCCUCAAGGGCCGUUUGCUCCUGCCCGGCUCCAGCUGCCCUCGGCACGGUGCUGGUGCCACAGAAAGCUCCGUUUGCUCCGUGCUCGUGAGGAUAAUGCAAAGGGAUGCCAGGGAGUGCACAAGGAACACACCAGAUGGGUGUCAAGGCCAGGCUGGACAGGGCUUGGGGCAGCCUGGGCUGGUGGGAGGUGUCCCUGCCCACGGCUCAGGGUGGAAUUGGGUGCUCUCUGAGGUCCCUUCACAGCCAAACCAUCCCGGGAUUCUCUGAGUAGAAUAAGGCAACUAAAAAAGACCUUUUUGUUUCCUCCAGCCCUGGGACAUUGUAACACUGGGUGAGGACUCAGGGUUGGUUUUGAGGACACUGUUACCAGAACCUCUGAAAAGCACCAGGAGUUUUUAUUUGGGCUCAGGUGGAGUUCUUCCCAUGAGCAGUACAGAAAAAGUAGUUCAUGUGCUCUUAAAAACCCUGAAGUUAGCAAAUUCCUGUGAUUCUGUGUGUAAUUUUCCUUCUUAAACUAAUUAGUUGCCACAGCCCAGUGUCCCAAGUGUCACUUUAGAGCAGCAGGACAAGGACAGGUGUGUGAACAGCAGCUCCAGGCGCUGGGAAUGAGUGUGGACAGCGUGGAAGUGACACAGGUGUGUGUGUGACUGACACUGACACAGGGGUGUGACUGACACAGGGGGGUGUGUGUGUGACUGACACAGGGGUGUGACUGACACAGGUGUGUGUGUGACUGACACAGGUGUGUGCAGACACCUGUAGCUCAGACUGUCUGUGACAUUUGCUUUUCCUCCUUCCUUAGGAAGUGAGAGGCUUUCCUGCUGGAUAGAAAAGUGUCCAGGAGAGCUGGACCAGAGCGGUUCUCAGAGAGCUGAGGGCUCUCUGCCUGUUUAAUAAAGGAGCAAAUAUUUCCCACGUGGAAUCCUGGGAUGGUUUGGGUUUAAGGGACCUUAAAGCCCAUCCAGUGCCACCCCUGCCAUGACAGGGACACCUCCCACUGCUCCAAGCCCCGUCCAGCCUGGCCUUGGUCACUCCCAGGGAUCCAGGGGCAGCCACAGCUUCUCUGGGAAUUCCAUCCCAGCCCCUCACCAUCCUCCCAGGGAACAAUUCCUGCCCAAUUUCUCAUCCAUCCCUGCCCUCUGACACUGGGAACACAUUUUACAUCUUACACUAAGGAUGUAGCUGCUUAACUGUUUCCAAGGGAUUAUGGAUUUAGUGCCAGAGCUGCAUCUAGAGAGGAUCCAGCAGAGAAAGGUGUUUUAUUUUGGUUUAUUUUCCUUUGAUUUGCUCUUCCUGCCAGAUUCCCAAAUCCCUCUGGAUGCCUCAGUGCGAGGGCCCACGGUGGCGAGUUCCCCACGUGAGGGAAGUGACGUGGGCUGGAGUAGCAGCAUGAGCUGUUUUCUGGCCAUGGCUUUCUUAAGGCAUCUCGCAUUUUGGAAGGUGCUUUGUGUCUGCAGAUCUGUGUUUUGGAAGGUUUUUUAGUAAUGAACUUGCAGUACCUGUUAAUUUGGGAAACGUCAACUUCCCGGGUUUAAAAUUAGCACCUUUGGUAACAGAACUCCUCUCAGUGUUCCCCAGCACAUGUUUCCCAGAAGCCAGGCCUCCUGCCAAGGGAUUUUCAUCUAUUGACUCAGGGCUGGCACAGCCAGAGCGGGGCAGUGCCCAGCCCCUGCCACCUCCCAGCCUGGCUGUGGGGAGGAUGUUCUGGAGCCCUGGUGUAGUCCAGGAUGUGGGAACAGUGUUGAAAUGCUGUGCAGUAAAGGUGUUCUCUGGGAAUUACUGUAUCACUGCAAGGACACGGCACUGAGGCAGCUGCCUCUUCCUCCAGGAGAGCUCCCUGGGUUUAUAGAGCAGGCCUGGCUGGCAGGAUGGGGUCAGGGCACAUCUCGUGGUGUGCAGUCCUUGCCCACGUGCCCUCUGUGAAGUCUCCAGGUGUCCCAGUGCCAUGGAUGAACCCCUCAUGGCCAGGCUGCCCUUCCUCUGCACUUUGCAUCUGACUGCCAGCCUGGCCAGGCCGGGGCUGAGGCAGCUCCUCAGUGCUGAGUGGAGCUAUUGAAGCAGUGGGUGUAACAAACUUAAUUAGAUGUGAGCUAAAAUAAUGCUGCUCCAAAUUCAAGUCAGCUCCGUGGAAUGUGGCAGGGAAGCCGAGUCCCCUGCAGGUGCCAAUUAUCCGGGGUGAGCUGGCGCAGGGACUCGGGUGUCUCCUUGCCUGGGUCAGCACAUCCCUGCACCCCUGCCUCUGCUGCAGCCUCCCAGAAAACCCCUGCAGCCACGGGAAUGCUUUUCCCAGCACAGGAGAGGGUCCCUGGGUGCUGAGGGAGAGAGCAGCCUGUGCUGGUCUAACUCAUCUUCAGUGUCUCACAACAGCAGAAAUGAGAAUAAAGUCCUGGGCAUGGGGGUGCUGUUUGACUGCUUGUGACCUGGCUGUUGUAAUUAUUGACACAAGCUGGCUGUUUGACCAAAACCUGCCUUUUUCAUGGUAAGAACUGGCCCCAGCCAGCGCAGACAGCUCCAAAAAGCCCUGAGGUACAGCUGCCAUGGCUCCCUCACUCUGACAGCAGAUCAGUGGCACUGUGGGCACUGGAAGAGGUCACAGGUAUCUGUAAAAGAAUCAAAACUGUU